UAUAAAGCGAAUAAGUUGAAGUAUUUAUUUAUUUUCUAUUGACUACGAGGAGCGGGGUUUAUUUAAUUGGCGGAUUAGAACAACCUAAGAGAACGGAUUAAUUUUUAUUAAUUAUCUGGCUUCAUGAGACGAGACUUACUUUUGUUUAAAUCCGAUAACCUGGAUUAACAAUAGAAAUUCCCUGAUUAUUAUUUCAGAAUAAUAAUUCAUGCAUAAGGAUCAUGCAUAGUUAAAUAUACAUUCUCAUUUGAGGAUUUUUAUUCGAGCAAAUACCUUAUAUAUGUACAUAUAUUCUCGUAAUAAAGGUCAAGGGCGAGAUUGAUAAUCUGUUGAGGAGCUUUCGUAUCACAGAAAAUCACUAUCAGGUUGAGCAGCUGCCGAUGGUGAUGAAGUGACGAGCGGGACUCUUUUAUCUUAUUAUGUAUUAAUGAACUCUAGGGUUACAUGUCUUCAUACAUGUAAUCAGAACCUUAUUCCGCUGCGUACUCAGAAGUUUUAUGUUUAUUUGGCUAAGUCAGAGAUAUCUGAACUUACUAGUUAUUUGAGUCUAUACGACUAAACUUCUGUUAUAUUAUAAAUAUUCCUUUUGUUAAAUGAUGAAAUGUGAUCCUUUCUUGUUUGAUUA